UGGGUUGAUGCCUGUUGGUUUGGGCGAUUUGUUGUUAACUGAUGUUUUGUGGGAUCAAAGCCCACCAACCCUG
rnacentral:tRNA from 1 species